CAGCGGACCACAUCGCCUAUUUUUUCCCACCGUCGGAUGUUGAACGGGCUGUCCAAAAAGUGCUCCAGACUCUUCAUCCUGAGCGCUAAACUCUUCGCUGCCGCCGCCGCGGCCGCUGCCUCCCUGUCCCUCCGCGCGUCGCCCCUACCCCCAUCGCCUUCGACGCAAGAGAAACUCCCUCCGCCUCCACUCCCCUUCACCGAUGCCAGAGCCCAAGGCAGAGCGCGUCGCAGGGCUGUGACAACUAGCGAUCACAGGAAAGGCCAAAGCUGUGGCUCCAGGCGGCCGCCUCCUAACCAUUGCGCGUCGAUGGAGGUCGGGCUCUAGUCUGAGGCUCACCGCUUGCCACGGCUCGUGCUGUGCUCUCCCUCGACCCCGUAUCAUGGACGGGAUGGGAUGCCGGUGUGCUGCUCCGCCUCCCAGGUGACCAGGCCGCCCCUGCCUCUCCACCGGCCACGUAGCACGCGAGCUGCAGAUCGACGCGACGGUGGCGCCAAGAAAGAGCUCUCCUCGCUUCCGUCCUGUACUCCUGCAGUGGAGCGAUGGAAGGUGAGCUGGACGAGCAGCUCAAACGGUUGUGAAUCGACGUUGCCUCCACUGCCUGCAAUGUGUUCGACAAAAUGCCAAGCUCCCAGGUUUGCUCAUUGCCAGAAUUUGUUAAGUGCAAGAGAGACAGGUGCAGAUGGAUAAGUUUCUUAGGAACCUUCAGAAAUCAAACAUUAGCAGAUGAUAUCAGAAAGUUAGACUUUUAUUGUAACUGUCAUAAGUUAUAAUACAGCCAGGCUGCAUAUCAUUGAGUCUGGUGGUGGAGAUACGGUAUAGUACAUAACCAAUGUGUAAGGAGCUGCAAAUAUAUAUCUCGAGUAUUUAGGAUCAGGCAAAUAUUGCUAAGGUGACUCUCAAACCCAACACGGGCCAUAAGGCGCGGCAACGUCGCGUCGUCUUUCUCUUUAGUUACAAAGAAGCUGUAUCCAAAUAAUUAUUAACAAGAGUAACAUAUAUACAA